AGAGUUUGAUCAUGGCUCAGGAUGAACGCUAGCGGUAUGCUUUAACACAUGCAAGUCGUACGGAAAAGAAAUUUUUAGUGGCGGACGGGUGAGUAACGCGUGAGAAUUUGCCUUUAGGAAGGGGAUAACAACUAGAAGUAGUUGCUAAGACUCUAUAUGCCGUUUGGUGAAAAAAGCAAUUUGCCUAAAGAGAAGCUCGCGUCUGAUUAGCUAGUUGGUGGGGUAAAGGCCUACCAAGGCGACGAUCAGUAGCUGGUCUGAGAGGACGAUCAGCCACACUGGAACUGAGACACGGUCCAGACUCCUACGGGAGGCAGCAGUGAGGAAUUUUCUGCAAUGGGCGAAAGCCUGACAGAGCAAUACCGCGUGGAGGAUGAAGGCCUACGGGUUGUAAACUUCUUUUCUCAAGGAGGAAGAUCUGACGUUACUUGAGGAAUAAGCAUCGGCUAACACUGUGCCAGCAGCCGCGGUAAUACAGGGGAUGCAAGUGUUAUCCGGAAUCAUUGGGCGUAAAGCGUCUGCAGGUUGAUAUUUAAGUCUUUUGUUAAAUCUCCGGGCUUAACCUAGAAUCUGCAAAAGAAACUAUAUAUCUUGAGUAUGGUAGAGGUAAAGGGA
rnacentral:rRNA from 1 species